rnacentral:rRNA from 1 species
CACGUAGGGGGGCAAGCGUUGUCCGGAUUUAUUGGGCGUAAAGAGCUCGUAGGCGGUUCGGUAAGUCAGGUGUGAAACCUCCAGGCUCAACCUGGAGACGCCACCUGAUACUGCUGUGACUCGAGUCCGGUAGGGGAGCGUGGAAUUCCUGGUGUAGCGGUGAAAUGCGCAGAUAUCAGGAGGACCACCGAUGGCGAAGGCAGGUCUCUGGGCCGAUACUGACGCUGAGGAGCGAAAGCGUGGGGAGCGAACAGG